rnacentral:siRNA from 1 species
GGGACCAAAAAGGUGAUCCAAGUG